rnacentral:rRNA from 1 species
AGCGUACACGGUGGAUGCCCUGGCAGUCAGAGGCGAUGAAGGACGUGCUAAUCUGCGAUAAGCGUCGGUAAGGUGAUAUGAACCGUUAUAACCGGCGAUUUCCGAAUGGGGAAACCCAGUGUGUUUCGACACACUAUCAUUAACUGAAUCCAUAGGUUAAUGAGGCGAACCGGGGGAACUGAAACAUCUAAGUACCCCGAGGAAAAGAAAUCAACCGAGAUUCCCCCAGUAGCGGCGAGCGAACGGGGAGCAGCCCAGAGCCUGAAUCAGUGUGUGUGUUAGUGGAAGCGUCUGGAAAGGCGCGCGAUACAGGGUGACAGCCCCGUACACAAAAAUGCACAUGCUGUGAGCUCGAUGAGUAGGGCGGGACACGUGGUAUCCUGUCUGAAUAUGGGGGGACCAUCCUCCAAGGCUAAAUACUCCUGACUGACCGAUAGUGAACCAGUACCGUGAGGGAAAGGCGAAAAGAACCCCGGCGAGGGGAGUGAAAAAGAACCUGAAACCGUGUACGUACAAGCAGUGGGAGCACGCUUAGGCGUGUGACUGCGUACCUUUUGUAUAAUGGGUCAGCGACUUAUAUUCUGUAGCAAGGUUAACCGAAUAGGGGAGCCGAAGGGAAACCGAGUCUUAACUGGGCGUUAAGUUGCAGGGUAUAGACCCGAAACCCGGUGAUCUAGCCAUGGGCAGGUUGAAGGUUGGGUAACACUAACUGGAGGACCGAACCGACUAAUGUUGAAAAAUUAGCGGAUGACUUGUGGCUGGGGGUGAAAGGCCAAUCAAACCGGGAGAUAGCUGGUUCUCCCCGAAAGCUAUUUAGGUAGCGCCUCGUGAAUUCAUCUCCGGGGGUAGAGCACUGUUUCGGCAAGGGGGUCAUCCCGACUUACCAACCCGAUGCAAACUGCGAAUACCGGAGAAUGUUAUCACGGGAGACACACGGCGGGUGCUAACGUCCGUCGUGAAGAGGGAAACAACCCAGACCGCCAGCUAAGGUCCCAAAGUCAUGGUUAAGUGGGAAACGAUGUGGGAAGGCCCAGACAGCCAGGAUGUUGGCUUAGAAGCAGCCAUCAUUUAAAGAAAGCGUAAUAGCUCACUGGUCGAGUCGGCCUGCGCGGAAGAUGUAACGGGGCUAAACCAUGCACCGAAGCUGCGGCAGCGACGCUGAUGCGUUGUUGGGUAGGGGAGCGUUCUGUAAGCCUGCGAAGGUGUGCUGUGAGGCAUGCUGGAGGUAUCAGAAGUGCGAAUGCUGACAUAAGUAACGAUAAAGCGGGUGAAAAGCCCGCUCGCCGGAAGACCAAGGGUUCCUGUCCAACGUUAAUCGGGGCAGGGUGAGUCGACCCCUAAGGCGAGGCCGAAAGGCGUAGUCGAUGGGAAACAGGUUAAUAUUCCUGUACUUGGUGUUACUGCGAAGGGGGGACGGAGAAGGCUAUGUUGGCCGGGCGACGGUUGUCCCGGUUUAAGCGUGUAGGCUGGUUUUCCAGGCAAAUCCGGAAAAUCAAGGCUGAGGCGUGAUGACGAGGCACUACGGUGCUGAAGCAACAAAUGCCCUGCUUCCAGGAAAAGCCUCUAAGCAUCAGGUAACAUCAAAUCGUACCCCAAACCGACACAGGUGGUCAGGUAGAGAAUACCAAGGCGCUUGAGAGAACUCGGGUGAAGGAACUAGGCAAAAUGGUGCCGUAACUUCGGGAGAAGGCACGCUGAUAUGUAGGUGAAGUCCCUCGCGGAUGGAGCUGAAAUCAGUCGAAGAUACCAGCUGGCUGCAACUGUUUAUUAAAAACACAGCACUGUGCAAACACGAAAGUGGACGUAUACGGUGUGACGCCUGCCCGGUGCCGGAAGGUUAAUUGAUGGGGUUAGCGCAAGCGAAGCUCUUGAUCGAAGCCCCGGUAAACGGCGGCCGUAACUAUAACGGUCCUAAGGUAGCGAAAUUCCUUGUCGGGUAAGUUCCGACCUGCACGAAUGGCGUAAUGAUGGCCAGGCUGUCUCCACCCGAGACUCAGUGAAAUUGAACUCGCUGUGAAGAUGCAGUGUACCCGCGGCAAGACGGAAAGACCCCGUGAACCUUUACUAUAGCUUGACACUGAACAUUGAGCCUUGAUGUGUAGGAUAGGUGGGAGGCUUUGAAGUGUGGACGCCAGUCUGCAUGGAGCCGACCUUGAAAUACCACCCUUUAAUGUUUGAUGUUCUAACGUUGACCCGUGAUCCGGGUUGCGGACAGUGUCUGGUGGGUAGUUUGACUGGGGCGGUCUCCUCCUAAAGAGUAACGGAGGAGCACGAAGGUUGGCUAAUCCUGGUCGGACAUCAGGAGGUUAGUGCAAUGGCAUAAGCCAGCUUGACUGCGAGCGUGACGGCGCGAGCAGGUGCGAAAGCAGGUCAUAGUGAUCCGGUGGUUCUGAAUGGAAGGGCCAUCGCUCAACGGAUAAAAGGUACUCCGGGGAUAACAGGCUGAUACCGCCCAAGAGUUCAUAUCGACGGCGGUGUUUGGCACCUCGAUGUCGGCUCAUC